rnacentral:lncRNA from 1 species
GUGCGUUCACAUGUUGUUUUCCAAGGUCUGCCGUUCGCCCUGUGAAUUUCAUUAGUUGCGUACAAGAAAAAUAGUAUACACUCAGUUUCUUAGACACAUUACACCUAUAAUGAUGUAGUUGUGCUCUUCAAUUCUUCACACCAAUCAAGGGAUCUCUUGCAAUAAGACUUCGGAAAAAUAAUAACUAUUAUUUUAGUCAGAAUAACUUGAUAACCUUUCUUCAAGACAUCAAAGAGAAAUAGUUACUACAAGAUACGUUAACAGCAUUUAUUCGGAGCACUUCCUUACUAGCUCACUCCAAAGAACAAUAUAUAUUUGUUGAUCAUAUAUAUUAUUAUUAUUACAAAAACCCCAUAGUAUGUUAGGUCGUGCCAAGAGCAAAAUUUGUUGUAGUUAUUUUAUUCAAAUUGCACUUGUCCCGGCCUGCUUUGCUAUUUAGACAACACCAUCGAUAAUAAUGAUAUAUCCAGUAACGACAGACAAUAAACUCCACAAUAGUAUGAUCUCUUCUUGCUCCACGGAAUACUCCUAAACUGUUCAAGAUAGUUGGAAGAAAACACAUCGUACGACAUACAGGAGAAUCCACAUCAAAUUCCACACAGCGACUCACAUGACUUCUCAGCUCAUACAUCACCCUUAAUUGAGAUAAUAUAUGUACAGCUUCUUAUAUAAACAUAUAUUUGCAAUAGAGUUGGAGAAUUGCACAACAUCUGUUAGAAUUAUAUAAAGGUUAUUGAAACUGAAGGGUUUGAAACCUUCAUGAAAUAGGUCAUCCUUCUUUGAUAUUUUUUGAUAAUAGAGACUAUUUUCUGAAGUGUUGAUCCGUGGUAAAUUUAUGAGAGAAAGGGUUAAGGAUGAUGAAAUGUUUCUGGAUCUUGCUUAUAAAUUAAAAGCGGCGGUACCCGGCAUUUCCUGGAAUCAUUAGGCGUCGGAUAAAAGACAAACUUAGCUUUACUAAUGUAGAAGAUAAUUCCCUUAAAAAUCCUCUGUGUUACUUUUUCUUUUUCAUGAGCACACGUAGCUACUCAAUACUUAUAUCAAUUCAUAUGUCGUGUUCUGUCUUCAAGAGUGAAAGAAUAAUAAUAAGAGUUUGGGAACAAAAAAUGUUUAGAUGACUGAUCAGCAGAGAUGGGCAACAUACCAAAUUUUCGUAUUCGUACUUCUGUACCAUGAGACAAAGUGGUUCCGUAUACAUCAAUUUUUUUCAGAUUAUGGUUCUGCACCCCGUAUAUCCGUACCGUCUCAAAUUAUUUAUCACAAAUCACAGAUCUUGAAGGGACGUUACUUAUGAUGUUUGUAAAAGAAAUUGAUUCAAACCAAUUUUGCGUGUUGAUAUAUCACUGCUUCUCGAUGAGAAAAAAUACCGGAAAGGCAAAAAUUUGGCUUGAUAAGCGUUAUCCAAACUCUGCUCUAUCGAAAGCAACUAUGGAACGUUGGUUUGCUGAGUUAAAAUAUGGCCGUACAGACACUGAUGAUGCUGAACAUUCUGGUUACCCAAAUUCUGCAGUUGUUCCCGAAAACAUACAAAAAGUCCACAAAAUAGUUUUUUCCAAUUGUAAAAUGAAGGUGCACAAGAUAGUUGACAUCCUAAAAAUAUCCAAUAGGAGUGUUUUCACUAUUUUGCAUAAAAAAUGUUGUAUGAAAAAGGUAUUUCCAAAGUGGAUGCUGCGUUUGUUCACAGUUGACCAAAAACUGUAACGUGUUCAGGACUCGGAGCGUUAUUUGGUACUGUUUUAUCAUAAUAACCAAUAGUUUUUGCGUCGGUAUGUCACAAUAGACGAAACAUUUUAUAAAAAAAAAUUGUAUCAUGCUUAAAGGAAAAAAUGUUGACAAAUAAAGUUGAGAUUUGCUAAAA